rnacentral:lncRNA from 1 species
ACUGAGGAUGUCCCAGUCACCCUUUGUCACCCCACACUUAGCCUAAUGCCAGAGGUCUGAGAUGAAGGAGGUGAGGGGGUCUUGGUAACGAGAAUGUGCCUCAUCCAAGCUGCAUGGAUCCAUGCCCCUGCACUGGAGUCGCAGAAUGGGGAGCGGCUGCAAGAAAGGUCCCCUGGGAGGCUGGAGAACAGGAGUGGGGUGGAGUUAGUGUCAGGGUCCCUCUGCAGCCUGAAAGUCACUUGAGAAACAAUUGUUGAGCACCUACUAGUGGCAAGAUAGGAGAUCAAGGACCAUGAAGACGUCCGCAUGUGCGGGCACACACACCCCAGUAAGACAAAUCAUAGUGUAGUGGUGGCCUUGGCUGUACAUAGAAAGAGGCAUCCUAGAGAAGGGGAGGUCUGAGCAGAGAGAUGACAGGUUGAGCACUCCUGGCAGAGGGAGUGGCAUGAUGGAGAAAGAGAAUGAGAUGGAGGACAAGUGCAGCGUGCCCAGGUAUAAUGUGCCUAGGGGAUAGAGGGGGUGUGGCAAGUGGGGAGAGGGAUGAGAGUAUGGUGGGAAAUGAGGCUGGAAGGAGAGAUGAGGCCACGACACAGAGGAGAGACUCAGAAUGCUGCAUAACCUCCCUGAGCCCCAUGGUCUUCGUUACUGCAAAUGGGACGUGGAAUCCAGGAAUGAGAGGCACAUGUUAAACUACAUUUUCCAGCCCUCUUGCUUUGAGGCUGGCCAUGUCACUGAGUUCUGGCAAUGAAACGGGCACAGAAGUGAUUUUUGUCACUUUCAGGCCUGAUCCAUAAAAACCUCGAUCCGUCAUCCCCUUUUCCAUCAUCCCUAUCUGGAUGACCCAGGGCACCACGAAGCCAUGUGAUGAAGAUGGGGAGAGCUUGGUCCCUGAAUGAUUACAUGGAGCAGAGCACCCUUCACCCUGCCCGCUGCCACCUACACUGAACUAUGACUUGGAUGAAAUAAACCUUCCCUGUGUUAAUCCGGUGAGAGUUUAGCUUAUCCUGACUAACAGCACCAUGAAGGUCUGAAGCCAAGUCCAUCAAACUCUGAAGACCAUCCUCUCUCAUGAAGCCAUAUUGCCACACAAUAUAGCAGAAAUAUAAAAGUCAAACUAUAAAAUAUUAUCUAAUU